rnacentral:rRNA from 1 species
GGAAAAGCUACAAGGGCACAGGGGGAAUGCCAGUGGCGUCAAGUGCCGAAGAAGGACGCGGUACACUGCGAAAAGCUCUGGUGAGGUGUGUGCAACCGCUAGAAGCCAGAGAUGUCCGAAUGGGGAAACCCAGCUGGGGGCAAGCCCAGUUGCGGCCGAGUGAACACAUAGCUCGGUACGCGGGAACCAGGCGAAUUGAAACAUCUUAGUAGCCUGAGGAAAAGAGAGGAUUCCGCUAGUAGUGGCGAGCGAACGCGGAGGAGCCGCAAGGGUGCGAUGAGGAAACCAAGCCGAGUGGUCUGGAAAGACCAACCAGAGAAGGUGAAAGUCCUGUAGGUGGUCGGGGAACUCACGUCUUGCAGAAAGUAGCGCGGGGCACGCUAACCCCGCGUGAAGACAGGCCGUCCACGGUCUAAGGCUAAAUACACUUGACGACCGAUAGCGCACAAGUACCGCGAGGGAAAGGUGAAAAGAACCCCGGCGAGGGGAGUGAAAUAGACUCUGAAACCCUGUGCUUACAAGCAGUCAAAGUCCCGUUGGGGAUGAUGGCGUGCCUUUUGGAGAAUGAGCCAGCGAGUUAAUGGAUGUGGCAGGCUAAGGCAGGUACAGCCGGAGCCGAAGCGAAAGCGAGUCUGAAAGGGCGGCAAUGUUGCAUUCAUUAGACACGAAACCAGGUGAGCUACCCAUGAGCAGGUUGAAGCGAAGUUAACCCUUCGUGGAGGACCGAACUGUCGACUGUUGCAAAAGUCUUAGAUGACUUGUGGGUAGGGGUGAUAUGCCAAACGAACCUGGAGAUAGCUUGUUCUCCCCGAAAUCACUUUUGGGUGAGCGUCGCGUGUUUAGUGCCGGAGGUAGAGCACUAGUUGGGCUAGGGGGCGCAAGCUUACCAACCCCACUUAAACUCCGAAUACCGGCACUCCAAGCGCGGCAGUUGGACGGCGUGAGAUGAGUUUCGUCGUCGAGAGGGAAACAACCCAGACCCACAGCUAAGGUCCCAAAGUCCAGGCUCAGUGGAAAACGAGGUGGGCGUGUAUAGACAGCCAGGAGGUUGGCUUAGAAGCAGCCACCCUUUAAAGAGUGCGUAAUAGCUCACUGGUCAAACGCGCCUGCGCGGAUAAUGUAACGGGGCUAAGCCUGGCACCGAAGCUCGGGAUACGAAAGUAUGGUAGGGGAGCGUCGUGGAUGGGACGAAGGUGGCGCGGUAAGUGUUGCUGGACUGUCCACGAGUGAGGAUGCUGGCAUGAGUAGCGAGAAAUGUGUGAGAACCACAUUCGCCGUAAGUCUAAGGUUUCCGACGCAAGGCCAGUCCGCGUCGGGUGAGUCGAGCCUUAGCCGAGGCCGCAAGGCGUAGGUGAUGGACAACAGGUGAACAUUCCUGUACCACUGGUGAGGAGCGAUGCGGGGACGCAAACGGGGAGCACAGCCCGGUGUUGGACAUCCGGGUGCUAAGCGUGGUAGCGUUGAGAGGGUAGGUAAGUCCGCCCUUGAGUGAAGGCGCGAUGGCGGGGUGAAAACCCAGAAGUGUGUGGGCCCGGUUGCCGAGAAAAGCCGCUAAGUGUUGAGCCACCAGUGCUCGUACCGCAAACCGACACAGGUAGACGAGUAGAAGAUACCCAGGCGAACGGGAGAACCUUCGUUAAGGAAUUCGGCAAAUUAGCCCCGUAAGUUCGCGAGAAGGGGCGCUGGCGAAAGCCAGCCGCAGUGAAAGGGCUCUGCUGACUGUUUAACAAAACCACAGGUCUCUGCGAAAGCGAAAGCUGAAGUAUAGGGGCUGAAGCCUGCCCAGUGCCGGAAGGUUAAAGGGAGGGGUUAUCCCGCAAGGGAGAAGCUCUGAACCGAAGCCCCGGUGAACGGCGGCCGUAACUAUAACGGUCCUAAGGUAGCGAAAUUCCUUGUCGGGUAAGUUCCGACCCGCACGAAUGGCCUAACGAG